rnacentral:rRNA from 1 species
GACUCUCGGCAAUGGAUAUCUBGGCUCUBGCAUCGAUGAAGAGCGCAGCGAAAUGCGAUACGUGGUGCGAAUUGCADAAUCCCGCGAACCAUCGAGUCUUUGAACGCAAGUUGCSCCCGAGGCCAUCCGGCCAAGGGCACGUCCGCCUGGGCGUCAAGCGUU